UGCUGCACGUGUCCUCAGGAGUUGCGGCUCAUGGGCUCCAGAGCGCAGGCGUACUUGCGGUGCACUGGCUUAGCUGUUCCAGUGGCAUGUAGGAUCUUGCCCAACCAGGGAUGAAACGGUGUCCCCUGCAUCACAAGGCUAAUUCUUAAUCACUGGACCACCAGGCUGGUGCUUCCCUCCUGCCCCUUUAUGCCCUAGCUCUUUGUGAAAUAAUUAAUUACCUUUUCUGAUCCAACUCAAGUUCUUUUUCUGCAGUGAGGAUGUACAUAAAUCGAGACUCCAUGAGGAAACUUCGCAGAGAAACUACAUGAGGCUUCGUUGCUGAAGGAGCAGCAUAAAGACAGGGAGUGGAAGGACGGUUCCUCACAAUUGUUUCUAAUAGGGUCUUUUAAAAUUAGCAGCACGAGAGAGUAUUUAACAAGAAAUCAGAGUCGAAAGUGAGAAGAAGCCUGAAGACAAAGGAGAACAGCAGAUUCCUAUACUGUGCUCAGGCGACUUGCUUGCAGUGUGUCUUCUCAUUCUGGAGCCUCUCCCGAGAAACUAGAAAGAAACAUAUGGAUGCAAAAAAAGUUUCAUUUGUUGCCAGAUACCUUCUCUACAUAACAUCUGGACCUAUGGAACAUCUGCACAGCUUUUCAUCUGGAUGUUUGGCAAAUACAGAGACAGUGUUUCCUUUCUAAAUCUAAUUCUUACACAGUGUUAUUCUCAUAGCAUAUUUGUUAAUGCUUCUAAUAUCCU
rnacentral:lncRNA from 1 species